CAAAUGAAUUGACGGGGGCCCGCACAAGCGGUGGAGCAUGUGGUUUAAUUCGAUGCAACGCGAAGAACCUUACCUGGUCUUGACAUCCACAGAACUUAGCAGAGAUGCUUUGGUGCCUUCGGGAACUGUGAGACAGGUGCUGCAUGGCUGUCGUCAGCUCGUGUUGUGAAAUGUUGGGUUAAGUCCCGCAACGAGCGCAACCCUUAUCCUUUGUUGCCAGCGGUUCGGCCGGGAACUCAAAGGAGACUGCCAGUGAUAAACUGGAGGAAGGUGGGGAUGACGUCAAGUCAUCAUGGCCCUUACGACCAGGGCUACACACGUGCUACAAUGGCAUAUACAAAGAGAAGCGACCUCGCGAGAGCAAGCGGACCUCAUAAAGUAUGUCGUAGUCCGGAUUGGAGUCUGCAACUCGACUCCAUGAAGUCGGAAUCGCUAGUAAUCGUAGACAGAAUGCUAC
rnacentral:rRNA from 1 species